GGUGGUGGCUCAGUGGUAGAGCAAUUGCCUAGCAUGCAAGAGGCACUGGGUUCGAUUCUCAACACCA
rnacentral:tRNA from 1 species